UACAGAGGGGGCAAGCGUUGUUCGGAAUUACUGGGCGUAAAGGGCGCGUAGGCGGCCUGUUAAGUCGGACGUGAAAUCCCUCGGCUCAACCGGGGAACUGCGUCCGAUACUGGCGGGCUUGAAUUCGGGAGAGGGAUGUGGAAUUCCAGGUGUAGCGGUGAAAUGACGUAGAUAUCUGGAGGAACACCGGUGGCGAAGGCGGCAUCCUGGACCGACAUUGAUGCUGAGGCGCGAAAGCCAGGGGAGCAAACGGG
rnacentral:rRNA from 1 species